rnacentral:rRNA from 1 species
UACGUAGGUGGCAAGCGUUGUCCGGAUUUACUGGGCGUAAAGGGCGUGCAGGCGGUUUGUUAAGUGCAGGGUGAAAGCUCCCGGCUCAACUGGGAGAGGUCCUUGCAUACUGGCAAACUCGAGGGAGGCAGAGGAAAGUGGAAUUCCCGGUGUAGUGGUGAUAUGCGUAGAUAUCGGGAGGAACACCUGUGGCGAAGGCGGCAUCCUGGACCGACAUUGACGCUGAGGAGCGAAAGCUAGGGGAGCAAACGGG